GGGGAUGAUCGGUUUCGACAGUGGUCGUCGAUCGAAGUGAAGCGAGCCGAGAAUGUGCGCUCAACUCGUUAACGAUGCGUGCAAACCAAUAGGUGCCGAACAGAAUCGCACCGACUACGUUCUCGCUGCCUGAUAUCGCAGCCUGAACCUUUAGUCCGUCAGCCCGGGAGUUGCUUCCGGCCCGGUGUCUGGCGUCGUCUAGGGAGCCACUGGGAGUCGCCCAUGUUGGUGGGGCGCCUCCGACAC
rnacentral:tmRNA from 1 species